GGAGUAAAAGUCGUAACAAGGUCUCCGUAGGUGAACCUGCGGAGGGAUCAUUACAGAGUUCAUGCCCUACCGGGUAGAUCUCCCACCCUGUGUUAUUAUUACUUUGUUGCUUUGGCGGGCCGUUAGGCUCCGGCCCGACUACCGGCCCCGGCUGGUAAGCGCCCGCCAGAGGACCCAAAACCCUGAAUAUUAGUGUCGUCUGAGUACUAUAUAAUAGUUAAAACUUUCGACAACGGAUCUCUUGGUUCUG
rnacentral:misc_RNA from 1 species